rnacentral:misc_RNA from 1 species
GUAGGUGAACCUGCGGAAGGAUCAUUAACACAUCCCAAAAACAUAUCCAAUUUCCUUUGGAUAUUAACCCCCCACUAUAAGUGAACUUUGUUAGGAGGUGCAUCAUAGCUAGCUUGUAUGCAUUAAUCGUGUGUGCAAGUGGGUUCCCUGACCGCCUCCGCUUUUUUUUCUUUUUUUUUAAACAAAAACCCAAUUGAACUUUCGACUGAACCUUUUUUUUUUUGUAUUGAAAAAUACGAAAAAAAUAAAU